GGCUCGUUGUUCUGUCUAGGGGUAUGACUCUUGCUUCGGGUGCGAGAGGUCCCAGGUUCAAUUCCCGGACGAGCCC
rnacentral:tRNA from 1 species